GACGAACGCUGGCGGCGUGCUUAACACAUGCAAGUCGAACGGAAAGGCCUGCUUUCCCUUGUGGAUUGCGGGUACUCGAGUGGCGAACGGGUGAGUAACACGUGAGUGAUCUGCCCCCAACUUGGGUAUAAGCCUGGGAAACUGGGUCUAAUUCCCGAUAGGACUGCAGGGUGGUGCCUGUGGUGGAAAACGAUUUUCUAGUGGUUGGGGAUGAGCUCGCGGCCUAUCAGCUUGUUGGUGGGGUAAUGGCCUACCAAGGCGGCGACGGGUAGCCGGCCUGGGAGGGUGGACGGCCACAUUGGGACUGAGAUACGGCCCAGACUCCUACGGGAGGCAGCAGUGGGGAAUAUUGCACAAUGGGCGGAAGCCUGAUGCAGCGACGCCGCGUGGGGGAUGACGGCCUUCGGGUUGUAAACUCCUUUCGACCGCGAGGAAGCCACCUGGUUGGAAGGGUGGUGGCGGUAGUGGUAGAAGAAGCACCGGCUAACUACGUG
rnacentral:rRNA from 1 species